AGAAGUCAGGCCGUCCUUGGACGCCACCCAAAGCAUGGGAGGGUGCUGCCUGCGACAAGCCCCAGGAGGACUGGGU
rfam:Rocio virus strain SPH 34675, complete genome